GAUGAACGCUGGCGGCGUGCCUAAUACAUGCAAGUCGAGCGAACUGAUUAGAAGCUUGCUUCUAUGACGUUAGCGGCGGACGGGUGAGCAACACGUGGGCAACCUGCCUGUAAGACUGGGAUAACUUCGGGAAACCGAAGCUAAUACCGGAUAGGAUCUUCUCCUUCAUGGGAGAUGAUUGAAAGAUGGUUUCGGCUAUCACUUACAGAUGGGCCCGCGGUGCAUUAGCUAGUUGGUGAGGUAACGGCUCACCAAGGCAACGAUGCAUAGCCGACCUGAGAGGGUGAUCGGCCACACUGGGACUGAGACACGGCCCAGACUCCUACGGGAGGCAGCAGUAAGGAAUCUUCCGCAAUGGGCGAAAGUCUGACGGAGCAACGCCGCGUGAGUGAUGAAGGCUUUCGGGUCGUAAAUCUCUGUUGUUAGGGAAGAACAAGUACAAGAGUAACUGCUUGUACCUUGACGGUACCUAACCAGAAAGCCACGGCUAACUACGUGCCAGCCGCCGCAGUAACAC
rnacentral:rRNA from 1 species